CUUGUGGAUGUAUGUUAUAUGCUCGAAUUUGUUUUGUUGUAUUUUCCAAUUCACCAUUGACAAUGCUGUCUAGUGUACAAUGUUGGUUGUCAAUUGGCAGUGAAAGAGUUGUAUACCAGAAUGUUUCCAAUUCUGCUUCAGUAGGAUUUAACGUUGCAAUUACUGUAAUCUAUAAUUAUAAUAUUGUAAUAAAAUAUCAGACGUAUUCUCUAAAAUUUAUUUAUAAAGAAUAAAAUAUAUAUUUAAUUGUAUAGUGAAAUGAACAUACCUCUUCAGUAGCUAAAAAUUCUUUGAUAACAUUUUCCGCUAAUACCAUUUGAGGCUGCCAUUUAUGCAUUCGUGGACAUUUUAAACUUGUACGGAUACGAUGACCAAAUUGUCGUCCAAUUUUAGGAAAAGCUUCGUAUAUCCAAUACUGAAAUAUAAGUAAAAAGUAAUAUUAACGUUUUUACAUGAUUAAAUUAUAUUGAAUAGGGAAUAAAUGUAAGAAAAAUACCUGGAAUACAAGUGGAUAACCAUGCAAUGAAUAUUUACAUUCUGCUUGGUUAUUUUGUUGCAUUCUUCGUAUUCUUUCAAGAUGUGAUUCUUGUAAUGAAUGUAAUAGAACAAAAUACGCCUUACGUCCCCAUGGAUACAUAAGAAAUUCAUCAAGCUGUUCAACCAUUCCAAGAGUUCUGUAAUCGAUGUGUCUUCCAGUUGGUUUUAAAACACAUUCGACAAACAUAACUAAUCCCAACUUAAAUUUAUCUUCUCGAUCUUCACAUAUAUGAAAUACUUCAGAAAGUCUUAUCAUAGUUAUUCGUUUUGAACCAUCGAAAUAUUCAUCUCUAAGUCGAGUAUUACUAAAAUUUAGAUCAACAGUAGGUUCAUGACAUGGCAAUCCAGUUAUGAGACAAAAUUCUUGUAGGCCAAAACGAGCUACACGAUGGUCUAGUUGUACCCAAACUUCGUUAGUUUUACCACAGUUUAUAAGUCUCAUUAUGAACUCAUGUGUUAACUUGCUGCUAAAUCUGUCGUUUUGCUUCUUAUUCAUAUUUCCACAAAUGAAUCCAUGGAAUGGACUGCAUAAUAAAGAGGCUUGAUCAUCUACAUUUAUAAGUUCUACAAAAUCUUUAAAAUAUUGAUGAUUUGCAAAUUGAGUAAUUGUAGCUGAGAACCAUUGAUUUGGAGAUAAUAUGUAUUCCAAUGACAUCUG
rnacentral:lncRNA from 1 species